rnacentral:rRNA from 1 species
AGCAGCCGCGGUAAUUCCAGCUCCAAUAGCGUAUAUUAAAGUUGUUGCAGCUAAAAAGCUCGUAGUUGAAUUUCGGGAUUGGCGUGUCGGUCGUGCCUUACGGGGUAUGAACUGGCGUCGUCGAUUUCUCACCUUCUGGAGAAUCACGAUGCCCUUAAUUGGGUGUCGUGUGGAACCAGGACCUUUACCUUGAAAAAUUAGAGUGUUUAAAGCAGGCAUUUUUGCUCGAAUACAUUAGCAUGGAAUAAUAAAAUAGGACGGUUUGGUUCUAUUUUGUUGGUUUCUAGGAUCACCGUAAUGAUUAAUAGGGAUAGUUGGGGGCAUUAGUAUUCAAUUGUCAGAGGUGAAAUUCUUGGAUUUAUUGAAGACUAACUACUGCGAAAGCAUUUGCCAAGGAUGUUUUCAUUAAUCAAGAACGAAAGUUAGGGGAUCGAAGACGAUCAGAUACCGUCGUAGUCUUAACCAUAAACUAUGCCGACUAGGAAUCAGACGAUGUAAUUUUUUAAUGAUUCGUUUGGCA